rnacentral:lncRNA from 1 species
UCCUCCAUUUUCUCGUCGGAAUCAGGCAUAGCUUGGUCUUUAGUGAUCUCUGCUUCAGCGGUCAGGGUUAGGGAUUCGUUUUGUUCCAUCCCGACCACAAAAACUGAUACAGGGAGAGGGAUGGAUGUUUUAUGUCAAUCUUUAACAAGGAUCGGACAGACAGUAAGACAGAACAGGACAACCACUCAUACAAGCACCAGACAAUGGAGCAGGUCAGACUCUACUCAGAACUCUGAAUCAGAUUUCAAAAACAAUGAAAAGCUCAAUUAGCCUGUGUUCACUUCAGGGUGCUGUACUGUUUACGGAGAUUGGAGAGCGAGGAAUGGAAGGUAAUUACACGUUCACUUGAAGUGAAUUGCACGGAUGGAAUUGAGGGAGAUUGCAGGAUUCUUCUACUAUUCAUUCACCCGCAUAUCUGAGGAGAUUUGGAAGGAUCAAAUGCACUUUCUCUAAAAUGCCCUUGUGAGUGAAUAAAAUUCUCAUAUGAAUAAAAUGCCCCUGGAAGGCUGGUGUUGGGGUUUCGUGAGACCAAAGGAGAUGGAAGGAGAGGUGCGUGAUGCCUAUUGCGACAGCGUGGUUAGCUUCGAUCAAUGGCGUGGUAACGGCCAGCUGGAGAAGAUGCUCGAAAGAAGCUUAUCAAUCUCACUGCGGAGUACCUCCUCUGUCUUCUCCACCGCCGUGCUCCCAUCUGCGUCAACACUACACUGCCGCCAUAUAUUACCUAAAAAAAAACCUUGCU